rnacentral:rRNA from 1 species
CCUUCGGGCGGCAGCAGUGGGGAAUAUUGGACAAUGGGGGGAACCCUGAUCCAGCCAUGCCGCGUGUGUGAAGAAGGCCCUCGGGUUGUAAAGCACUUUCAGUGAGGAAGAACGCCUGGUGGUUAAUACCCAUCAGGAAAGACAUCACUCACAGAAGAAGCACCGGCUAACUCCGUGCCAGCAGCCGCGGUAAUACGGAGGGUGCGAGCGUUAAUCGGAAUUACUGGGCGUAAAGCGCGCGUAGGUGGCUUGAUAAGCCGGUUGUGAAAGCCCCGGGCUCAACCUGGGAACGGCAUCCGGAACUGUCAAGCUAGAGUGCAGGAGAGGAAGGUAGAAUUCCCGGUGUAGCGGUGAAAUGCGUAGAGAUCGGGAGGAAUACCAGUGGCGAAGGCGGCCUUCUGGACUGACACUGACACUGAGGUGCGAAAGCGUGGGUAGCAAACAGGAUUAGAUACCCGUGUAGUC